UCCUUAGAUGUUCUGGGCCGCACGCGUGCUACACUGAACGGUUCAAUGGGUAAGGUAGUGCGAAAGCAUGACCUAAUCUCGAAAUCCGUUCGUGCUGGGGAUAGAAGCUUGCAAUUAUCCUUCUUGAACGAGGAAUUCCUAGUAAGCGCAAGUCAUCAACUUGCGUUGAUUACGUCCCUGCCCUUUGUACACACCGCCCGUCGCUACUACCGAUUGAAUGGUUUAGUGAGGCCUUCGGAUCCGCGACUCGUUUUGUGGAGAAGUUGGACAAACUCAGUCAUUUAGAGGAAGUAAAAGUCGUAACA
rnacentral:rRNA from 1 species